rnacentral:siRNA from 1 species
AGUAAUUAAUCUCACUAUUUGGGU